AUUGAACGCUGGCGGCAGGCCUAACACAUGCAAGUCGAGCGGAUGAAGGGAGCUUGCUCCUGGAUUCAGCGGCGGACGGGUGAGUAAUGCCUAGGAAUCUGCCUGGCAGUGGGGGAUAACGUCCGGAAACGGGCGCUAAUACAGCAUACGUCCUGAGGGAGAAAGUGGGGGAUCUUCGGACAUCACGCUAUCAGAUGAGCCUAGGUCGGGUUAGCUAGUUGGUUGGGUAAAGGCCUACCAAGGCGACGAUCCGUAACUGGUCUGAGAGGGUGAUCAGGCACACUGGAACUGAGACACGGUCCCGACUCCUAAGGGAAGCAGCAGUGGGGAAUAUUGGACAAUGGGCGAAAGGCUGGUCCAGGCAACGCGGGUGUGUGAAGAAGGUCUUCGGAUUGGAAAGCACUUGUAGUUGGGAGGAAGGGCAGGAAGUUAAUACCUUGCUGUUUUGACGUUACCAACAGAAGAAGCACCGGCUAAAUUCGUG
rnacentral:rRNA from 1 species